GAGCUACACGGAGAAAGGAAGAAAGACACCGAUCGGGACGUAGUCUGUUAAAAGACAACGCAAAAGGUUUCAGCAAUGUUGGACCGGGAGGACUGUGCCCAGCUGCAGUGCUGUGUGACGGUGGAGCACCUGAACGCCUGCGGCCAGGCCACCCGGAGGCAGGUCAUCCGGAAAGCCUCGGUGAUUCUGGGCCGGAAUGAGUUCCAGGACAUUAUCCUCCGGGUCCACGACGCUAAAGUCCCGCAAAAUUACCAUCUCAAAGAAUUCAAGCUUUUUACAAAGUUCGUCAGAGAAGGGAAGUGCACCGUCAAACUGCUCCCCGAAAACAUCCAGUUGCUCUUCUCCAACUGCCCCCCUGACCGGCUGAACCUCUUCCUAAAAACCCUGAGCAUCAAGCACCAGGCCCGGAUGAGCAGCAAGCCGAUGACCGACCGAGAGAAGCUCAAAGCCGGCCUGCCCCGCAGCUUCGAGGCCAUCAGCCCGCUGCAGCAAAAGGAUAUCCAGAAGGUCAAUGAGCUGAGGAGUACAGAGGCGCCCAGAGGGCUGACCGACCGCACCAACAGGACCACCGCCGCUGGAAGAGGACAGCAGGUCAAAAGGUCGAGAAGUGACACUAACUUCAGCCCAGUGAAAAACAACCCGAGCAAGAAGCCCAUCCUGUCUCUGCCAUCCCGUAAGCUGAAUAAAGAACAGGCCGCUGUCCUGACUGCUGUGCUAAGUGGCAAGAACGUCUUCUUUACUGGAAGUGCAGGUACAGGAAAAUCCUUCUUACUGAAGAGAAUCAUGGGGUCUCUUCCUCCAAAAAGCACCUUUGCCACAGCCAGCACAGGAGUGGCUGCAUGUCACAUCGGAGGAACAACAUUACACAACUUUGCUGGUAUUGGCUCCGGCUCUGCCCCGCUGGAGCAGUGUAUCGAGCUGGCCCAGAGGCCCGGGGUGCUGCAGCACUGGACCAGCUGUCGACACCUCAUCAUCGAUGAGGUGUCCAUGGUGGAGGCCCAGUUCUUUGAUAAGCUCGAGUCGGUGGCAAGGUCGGUGAGGAGGUCCACUCAGCCGUUUGGGGGCAUUCAACUAAUCAUAUGUGGCGACUUCCUCCAGCUGCCUCCGAUUUCUAAAGGAAAGGAAAAGGCCAGCUUCUGCUUCCAGGCCAGAAGUUGGCGUAAGGUCAUCCAGGUCAACAUGGAGCUAAUGGAGGUGUGGAGGCAAACUGACCAGUCCUUCAUCUCCCUCUUACAGGCAGUGAGGGUGGGCAGGGUGACGGAGGAAAUCACAGCGAAGCUGAAGAACAGCGCCUACCAGCCCAUUGAGAGAGACGGCAUUCUAGCGACCAGGCUGUGCACGCACAAGGACGAUGUGGAGCUCACAAACGAGAACAAACUCCAGCAGCUGCCAGGGUCAGUGCGUGUGUUUGAGGCCCUGGACAGCGACCCAGCCCUGGGGAAAACGAUCGACGCUCACAGCCCCGUCAGCAGACUGAUCCAACUCAAAGUUGGAGCGCAGGUCAUGCUGACUAAGAACCUGGAUGUUGCUCGAGGUCUGGUGAACGGAGCGCGAGGCCUCGUGGUGGCUUUUGAGCCCGGAAAACAUGGACUCCCACGUGUGCGUUUCCUUUGUGGUGUCACAGAGGUGCUGAAAGCUGAGCGCUGGGUAUUUAAGUCUUGCGGUGGGAUCCACCUGAGUCGACAGCAGCUGCCACUCAAACUGGCCUGGGCCAUCUCCAUCCACAAGAGCCAGGUGAGAACGGGUUUAGCCACAACUCUCUCAAAACCAAUAUGAUGACGUCGCUCUUUGGGGAAGACUCCUUUCAGUGUUGCCAUGGGACACCAGUGCUUUGCGGUCUGUGGUUGUCUUUGUGCAGACAUUCCUCAGCCACAGAUGUUAAAUGUUUUAGGUCCCCUAAUAAUAAUAAUCCAUUUAAUUUAUAUAGUGCUUUUCGAGGUACUUAAAGACUCUUUACAUGUUACACUCAUACACCAUAGACACAGCUAAGGGGAGACAUUCAGGGUGAAGUCUCUUGCUCAAGGACACAUCGACUAGGGCGGUGAUUGAACCGCCAACCCCCCCUGAUUUAAAGACGGACCUGUUAACCACUGACCCACAGUCGCCCCUAACUUGUUCUAGCCGUCUUGUCCAGCCGUCUUAACAAACUGGUUAGGAAGGCUGGCUCCAUCAUCGGCUGCCAGCUGGAGCACCUGGAACAGGUGGUGGAGAGGAGGACGUUGAAGAAACUGGUGUCCAUAUUGGACCACCCUCUCCACCACCUCCUACAGGGACAGAGGAGUACUUUCUCCAAACGUCUCCUCACGCUCCGCUGCCACAAGGACAGAUACAGGAGAACAUUCCUGCCGACGGCUAUGAGGCUCUACAACAGUUCACCUCUUGCCAGAUCACCCUAACCCUUCUUAUAUUUGUGUUUUUUAUUUUUAUUUUUAUUCUUGUGUGUUGCUGCUACUGGCUCGACAAAUUUCCCCUUGGGGAUUAAUAAAGUAUAUAUCUAUCUAUCUAUCUAUCUAGUGCCUCCAGCAGGCCAGAUUUUCACUUGUCCAGUAAAUUAUCUCCAUAUCUAGGGGAAGGAUUGGAACAACAUUUAGAGCUGACAUGGUGACCAGCUGAUGAAAUAAAUGAUUGGGGGGUUCCUACUUGGUUUCAACAUCCCACAGCAGGCAGAGAGAAACUCAGGCAAGGGAAUGACACUCGACUGUGUGGAAAUCUCUCUGGCGCGUGUGUUUGAG